GUGAGAGUGCUGUGUAUGAUGUGUGUGAGUGUGCUGUGUAUGAUGUGUGUGAGAGUGCUGAGUGUGAUGAGUGUGAGAGUGCAGAGUGUGAUGUGUGUGAGAGUGCUGUGUAUGAUGUGUGUGAGAGUGCUGUGUAUGAUGUGUGUGAGAGUGCUGAGUGUGAUGAGUGUGAGAGUGCUGUGUAUGAUGUGUGUGAGAGUGCUGUGUAUGAUGUGUGUGAGAGUGCUGUGUAUAAUGUGUGUGAGAGUGCUGUGUAUGAUGUAUGUGAGAGUGCUGUGUAUGAUGUGUGUGAGAGUGCUGUGUAUGAUGUGUGUGAGAGUGCUGUGUAUGAUGUGUGUGAGAGUGCAGAGUGUGAUGUGUGAGAG